UGCGCAGGCGUCCCGAUAUGUUGUACUUUAAAUACUAAAGCUUAACUUUAGAAUUGGGUACAAAACUAUCGGGAUCGAGGUUUGACAGGGGUGCUAGAACAGUUAGUGUAGCAGUGAAAUGCGUUGAUAUUAACUGGAAUACCAAAAGCGAAGGCAGGCACCUAGGUUUUACCUGACGCUCAUGCACGAAAGCCAGGGGAGCGAAACAGAUUAGAUACCUGUGUAGUCCUGGCCGUAAACGAUGUCCGCUAGCUCUCACUCACGUGGGGGUGUAAGCUAACGCGUUAAGCGGACCGCCUGGGGAGUACGGCCGCAAGGCUAAA
rnacentral:rRNA from 1 species